rnacentral:rRNA from 1 species
AGAGUUUGAUCCUGGCUCAGAACGAACGCUGGCGGCAGGCCUAACACAUGCAAGUCGAGCGCCCCGCAAGGGGAGCGGCGGACGGGUGAGUAACACGUGGGAAUUUUCCUCAAGGUACGGAACAACUCGGGGAAACUUGGGCUAAUACCGUAUGAUGCAGAGAUGCCAAAGAUUUAUCGCCUUGGGAUAAGCCCGCGUCAGAUUAGGUAGUUGGUGGGGUAAUGGCCUACCAAGCCUGUGAUCUGUAGCUGGUCUGAGAGGACGAUCAGCCACAUUGGGACUGAGACACGGCCCAAACUCCUACGGGAGGCAGCAGUGGGGAAUCUUGCGCAAUGGGCGAAAGCCUGACGCAGCCAUGCCGCGUGAAUGAUGAAGGUCUUAGGAUUGUAAAGUUCUUUCGCCCGUGACGAUGAUGACGGUAACGGGAGAAGAAGCCCCGGCUAACUUCGUGCCAGCAGCCGCGGUAAUACGAAGGGGGCUAGCGUUGUUCGGAAUUACUGGGCGUAAAGCGCGCGUAGGCGGUUUUGCAAGCCAGAGGUGAAAUGCCCGAGCUCAACUUGGGAAUUGCCUUUGGGACUGUGAGGCUUUGAGGACGAGAGAGGUGAGUGGAAUUCCCAGUGUAGAGGUGAAAUUCGUAGAUAUUGGGAAGAACACCGGUGGCGAAGGCGGCUCACUGGCUCGUUUCUGACGCUAAAGCGCGAAAGCGUGGGGAUCAAACAGGAUUAGAUACCCUGGUAGUCCACGCUGUAAACGAUGAGUGCUAGGCGUCGGCAGGCUUGCCUGUCGGUGCCGCAGCUAAC